AAAGGACCAUGCUGCCUCAGUUUUCCCCUCAAAAGUUAACAUGCACUACAGAUGAUCCACACACUACCAGGCUGGUACAUCAUGCUCAAUUCCUCUCAAUCCCUUUUGUCAGCUUCUAGGACAGCGUGUGUGGCUGGCUGGCUACGUGUGGGGAUGCUGCAGAUUGCUGCAGAGCCAUGUCAGGAAGAUCCACCACAAAACCUGGACUGGAGUUCAGUCUGCAGCUCAGGAACAGGACCAGGACCAGGAGACGGACCACAGGCAGAUGUGAGAGUAAUACUCUGAGUUUGAAUGGUCCUUUGCACAUGUUUUCUUCCCAUUGGUCCAGGGUCCUGGGCUUAUAGCACUGCAGCCUUGCAGGUACAACAUAUAAGGGUGCUCUCCACCUGCACCAGGUUUCACCUCAGGCCCUGCACACUGGAGAGAGGAAACUUGGAGAGCAAUAGAUACAAGAGGAGGGACAGUUCUGCAUGAAUGCUGUACACCUUCAGUCACUGCUGCAGGACAGUCACAUCCACCAGAUGGCAGCAUAAUACAAGCCUGAGAACAGGGCAAACCAAAACACCAUGAAAACAAUUCUGUCCUAUACACAGUAUUCACCACCAGAGAGCCCUGUACAUGAUAAUGAUGAUAUUAUCACUUAGGAUAUAUACAGUGUGCGCACAUCCUGUAUAUAUUCAUAAUAUUUCAAAUAUUUGUAUAAAAACAUAAUGUAUGCUUACAUGGAUAUACUCUACUGUCUUAUGUGGCACA